ACAUUCUGGAGAAGUCUGCUGUGAUAAGCAGAUGCCGAAGGUGCAAAGACGCAUCCCGCGUUUAAUCUCUCAGGCAAAAGGACAGAAUGG
rnacentral:ncRNA from 1 species